AGGAAAAGAAACCAACAGGGAUUGCCCCAGUAACGGCGAGUGAAGCGGCAACAGCUCAAAUUUGAAAUCUGGCCCCCGGGGCCCGAGUUGUAAUUUGCAGAGGAUGCUUUUGGCGAGGUGCCUUCCGAGUUCCCUGGAACGGGACGCCAUAGAGGGUGAGAGCCCCGUCUGGUUGGACACCGAGCCUCUGUAAAGCUCCUUCGACGAGUCGAGUAGUUUGGGAAUGCUGCUCUAAAUGGGAGGUAUAUGUCUUCUAAAGCUAAAUACCGGCCAGAGACCGAUAGCGCACAAGUAGAGUGAUCGAAAGAUGAAAAGCACUUUGAAAAGAGGGUUAAAUAGUACGUGAAAUUGUUGAAAGGGAAGCGCUUAUGACCAGACUUGGACCCGGUGAAUCAUCCAGYGCUCUCGCCGGUGCACUUUGCCGGGCCCAGGCCAGCAUCAGUUUCCCCCGGGGGAUAAAGGCUCCGGGAAUGUGGCUCCUCCGGGAGUGUUAUAGCCCGCCGCGCAAUACCCUGGGGCGRACUGAGGUUCGCGCAUCUGCAAGGAUGCUGGCGUAAUGGUCAUC
rnacentral:rRNA from 1 species